UUUGAGUUCAAGGCUACUAGGUGAGGUCAUGUCUCAGAAAGAAAAAGAGUAAAGCAAAGUGAAAGGACAAAAACAAACAAACAAACAAACAAGCAAAACCUCCAGAAAGAAUCACAGAUAAAGUGUGGGAAGAAGAAAUGGGGAAGGGCCUAAGGACCUUGGAUAAAUUCUAAAUACAGUUAAUAAAUUAACCUAUCAGCGCCCAUCUCUGCCAGAGGUUGAUGUUGGCUAUCUUGUAAUUCUCUCACUUUCUCCCUUAUUAUUUUGAGGUAGAAUCUUUGCAUGAACCUGGGGAUCACUGGUCAUCCAGCAAGCCUGCAGGAGGCUCCUGGACCUUGCCUCUCCAAGCACUGGAAGUUCCUGUCUUGAGUUCCCUGCCUUGAUGCCCCUCAAUGAUGGACGUAACACAUGAGCCUAGUAAACUCUUUUAUCCUAUAAGUUGCUUUGCGUCAGUUUUAUCACAGCUACAGUGAAGCAGAGUGGGACAUCUACGAUACCAAGUGCUCUCUCUUAAAUCCCUGGGAUUCUGCAUCAGCUGUAGUCCACCACGGAUGAUAAAAGAAUGAUGAAAAAUGGAAGUUCCUUUUUUAUGCCUGAGUGAAUAUAUGCUACCAAAAAUUUUGAUUCUAAUCGUCAUUAUUUUCUACUUAUGACCUAUGGACCUUGUUUCCAUGCACAUGGAGAUACAAACAUGUUGGAUAUGAAGCAGCUUUUGUGGAACAUUCCUGUAAAUAUACAUACUCAUACACAGUAGAAUAUAUAAAACAACUAUAGAACUUUAAGUCUACCUCCAUGAAUUUAUUGCGGUG
rnacentral:lncRNA from 1 species